GUGAGGAAUAUUGGUCAAUGGGCGGGAGCCUGAACCAGCCAAGUCGCGUGAAGGAAGAAGGAUCUAUGGUUCGUAAACUUCUUUUGCAGGGGAAUAAAGUGCAGGACGUGUCCUGUUUUGUAUGUACCCUGAGAAUAAGGAUCGGCUAACUCCGUGCCAGCAGCCGCGGUAAUACGGAGGAUCCGAGCGUUAUCCGGAUUUAUUGGGUUUAAAGGGUGCGUAGGUGGUUUGAUAAGUCAGCGGUGAAAGUUUGCAGCUUAACUGUAAAAAUGCCGUUGAACAUGUCGGACUUGAGUGUAAAUGAGGUAGGCGGAAUGCGUGGUGUAGCGGUGAAAUGCAUAGAUAUCACGCAGAACUCCGAUUGCGAAGGCAGCUUACUAAGCUACAACUGACACUGAAGCACGAAAGCGUGGGGAUCAAACAGGAUUAGAAACCCCUGUAGUCC
rnacentral:rRNA from 1 species